UGAGGAAUAUUGGUCAAUGGGCGAGAGCCUGAACCAGCCAAGUCGCGUGAAGGAUGAAGGUUCUAUGGAUUGUAAACUUCUUUUGUCCGAGGGUAAAAAAGGCCACGUGUGGCUUCUUGCAAGUAUCGGACGAAUAAGCAUCGGCUAACUCCGUGCCAGCAGCCGCGGUAAUACGGAGGAUGCAAGCGUUAUCCGGAUUUAUUGGGUUUAAAGGGUGCGUAGGCGGAUGGGUAAGUCAGCGGUGAAAUGUCCCGGCUCAACCGGGGAACUGCCAUUGAUACUGCCUGUCUUGAAUGCGGAUGCCGUGGGAGGAAUGUGUAGUGUAGCGGUGAAAUGCAUAGAUAUUACACAGAACACCGAUUGCGAAGGCAUCUCACGAAUCCGUUAUUGACGCUGAGGCACGAAAGCGUGGGGAUCAAACAGGAUUAGAUACCCUGGUAGU
rnacentral:rRNA from 1 species